rnacentral:lncRNA from 1 species
AUAGUUAUGAAGUACAUUGUUAUUUUUUAUAUAACACUCUAUGACCAAACAAUGUAAGAAUACAUUCAUGUAUAAAUGUUCUUAUUUCGAUACAUUUUUUUAGUCCAUAGAUUUUGAUACAUUCUAAUAAAAGUACAAACAAAUAAAAGUAUAUGCUUAGUCGAAAAUGGAUUUUGGAUUGAUCCUAAACAAAAAAAAUUGGAUUGAGUGUAGUUGACUGCAUCCAUUCAGUUACAUAGAUUUGGACAGUCAGAUCAAGAUAUGGCAGACAAGAUUUUAAGUUCGGAUUUUCAUUAUUUUUAAAUUUGAAAUUCAAGCUUAAAAUACGGGUUGUCCGAUUAAGAUUAGACAUAUCAUAUUUGCCUAACCGCAAGUCAACUAUAUCCUCUCGACUGCACACAAAUUCGGUCCAUCGAAAAACAACUCACAUGAAUAGGUAAUGCACCUCAUAUAUAGAGGAAGACGCAUAACUGGACAAUCACCGUUAGUAACGCAUGGAAUGCGAUCUGCAAUAUUGUCAAAAAAAAGAAAAGAAAUGUAACUAUAGUUAUAAAUGUUGUGUUUGAGUUAAAUUAAAAAAUGGUGUGAAUAAUGAAAUGACAUACCACCAUUGGUUAUAACAGGAAAUAGAGAGAAAAAGAUGAUCAAAGUGUAACCAAACAUUGGAAUUUGAUUCAUAGUUUCCCUCUUUUGAAUG